rnacentral:tRNA from 1 species
UUAAGGGAGACCUACCCUAUCGGAUGCCGAAACAAAGUGGAAUAGGCGAAGAUAAGGUCAUCCUAAGGUCGUUCGAGAUUGAGGUAGAACUAAUUGGCUUUCAAACUACUAGGUGAGGGACCGUGGGCUAUUAGCUCAGGUGGUUAGAGCGCACCCCUGAUAAGGGUGAGGUCCCUGGUUCGAGUCCAGGAUGGCCCACCUGCAUCAAUUGAAACGAUUGAUGGGGGUUUAGCUCAGUUGGUAGAGCGCCUGCUUUGCAAGCAGGAUGUCAGCGGUUCGAGUCCGCUAACCUCCACUGAGAACGAUUCAGCAACUAGUCUAGUCUCAAGCACUAGAGAGCCCGCUGGAUUUUGGUCCAGUCAGAACCUUGAAAACUGCAUAGAAACUUGUCAGGUAGGUAGUCCUAUUCAACUAGUCAAACUAGUUGAAUCAGGAUGAAUAUCACAGACACCAAUGUAAUUGAACUUAAGU